AUGAGAUUUCCCAGUAUGUAAGACCCCUUGAAGACGACGAGGUAGAUAGGUUGGGGGUGGAAGUGCAGUAAUGCAUGGAGCUGACCAAUACUAAUCGGUCGAGGGCUUAUCCUA
rnacentral:rRNA from 1 species